rnacentral:rRNA from 1 species
GACGAACGCUGGCGGCGUGCUUAACACAUGCAAGUCGAACGGUGAAGCGCCUUCCUUUUUGGUGGGUGUGGAUGAGUGGCGAACGGGUGAGUAACACGUGAGUAACCUGCCCCCUUCUUCUGGAUAACCGCAUGAAAGUGUGGCUAAUACGGGAUAUUCUGGGUCUGUCGCAUGAUGGGUCUGGGAAAGAUAUUGUUUCGGUGGGGGAUGGGCUCGCGGCCUAUCAGCUUGUUGGUGGGGUGAUGGCCUACCAAGGCGGUGACGGGUAGCCGGCCUGAGAGGGUGGACGGUCACACUGGGACUGAGACACGGCCAAGACUCCUACGGGAGGCAGCAGUGGGGAAUAGUGCACAAUGGGCGCAAGCCUGAUGCAGCGACGCCGCGUGAGGGAUGGAGGCCUUCGGGUUGCGAACCUCUUUCGCCAGUGAAGCAGGACUGCCUCGUGUGUGGGUGGGUUGACGGUAGCUGGAUAAGAAGCGCCGGCUAACUACGUG